AUAAGUUAUCGUUUAUUUGAUAGUACCUUACUACUUGGAUAACCGUGGUAAUUCUAGAGCUAAUACAUGCUUCAAAUCCCGACUUCGGAAGGGAUGUAUUUAUUAGAUUAAAAGCCAAUGCCCUCUGGGCUCCUUGGUGAUUCAUAAUAACUUUUCGAAUCGCAUGGCCUUGCGCCGGCGAUGGUUCAUUCAAAUUUCUUCCCUAUCAACUUUCGAUGUUUGGGUAUUGGCCAAACAUGGUUACAACGGGUAACGGAGGGUUAGGGCUCGACCCCGGAGAAGGAGCCUGAGAAACGGCUACUACAUCCAAGGAAGGCAGCAGGCGCGCAAAUUACCCAAUCCCGACUCGGGGAGGUAGUGACAAUAAAUACUGAUACAGGGCUCUUUUGGGUCUUGUAAUUGGAAUGAGUACAAUUUAAAUCCCUUAACGAGGAACAAUUGGAGGGCAAGUCUGGUGCCAGCAGCCGCGGUAAUUCCAGCUCCAAUAGCGUAUAUUAAAGUUGUUGUGGUUAAAAAGCUCGUAGUUGAACCUUGGGCCUGGCUGGCCGGUCCGCCUCACCGCGAGUACUGGUCCGGCCGGGCCUUUCCCUCUGUGGAACCCCAUGCCCUUCACUGGGUGUGGCGGGGAAACAGGACUUUUACUUUGAAAAAAUUAGAGUGCUCCAGGCAGGCCUAUGCUCGAAUACAUUAGCAUGGAAUAAUAAAAUAGGACGCGUGGUUCUAUUUUGUUGGUUUCUAGGACCGCCGUAAUGAUUAAUAGGGACAGUCGGGGGCAUCAGUAUUCAAUUGUCAGAGGUGAAAUUCUUGGAUUUAUUGAAGACUAACUACUGCGAAAGCAUUUGCCAAGGAUGUUUUCAUUAAUCAGGAACGAAAGUUAGGGGAUCGAAGACGAUCAGAUACCGUCGUAGUCUUAACCAUAAACUAUGCCGACUAGGGAUCGGACGAUGUUAUC
rnacentral:rRNA from 1 species